CCUGGAUGAAGAGAGAGGGAGCUGAUGAUGUGAAGCUGGGAGGAGCAGCUGACAGCAGGACCCAGUGAACUUCAAGGAGAGCAGGUCAAGAAGAUGAGAAACUUGUACAGAGUGCAGUAGUUACAGUAGUGCAACAAAGAAGAUGAGGAGCUUGGAGCAUCUCCCUUCUGAGGAAAGGAUGUUCACCAACCUAUGGCUGCUUUGCCAAGAGAAGGGAAGGGUGAAGGCUGCAGACAAGUUUUGUUUUGCUUUUUGCAAGGAUUGUCUGAACAUGAGGUUUCAUCAGCGGCUUGAAGGUGUUGUUUUAAGCAGUGCCUGCAGCAGAGAUUCAGCAGCCCUUGUUCAGGAGUUUGGAGUGUUCUGAAGGUCAGAAUUUUUGAUGGGGAGCUGCACUCUAUCAAGAUGAAGAAGUGCAAGUGGCUGAUGAGGUACAUGGUGUCUGUGGCUUUUUUUUUUUUUUUUUUUAGUAGA